GGUAUCCUGUCUGCAGCAGGAACCGAAGUAUGCUCAAGGACUUCAGGAACCAUGCAGCAGCCACACAGCAAAGCAGGGACUGCCUUCAUUCUGACCCAGCAGCUCCAUGCAUCCAAGACUGACACUUUCCUGGAACACACUUGCCACCUGGACACUCCACGCCCAUCAUGGCCCACAACAUUGUCAUCAUUUGUACCAUUGGCCCUGCUUCCUGAUCUGUGGGGAUGCUUAGAGAGAUGACUAAGUCCGGAGUGAAUGUGACUCGGCUGAAUUUCUCUCAUGGAACCCACGAGGGCCAUGCAGAGACCAUCAAGAAGCUCCGUGCAGCCACAGAAAGCUUUGCAUCCAAUCCCAUUCUCUAUCAUCCCGUUGCAGUGGCUCUGGAUACGAAGGGACCUGAGAUCUGGACUGGACUCAUCCAAGACAGCAACACUGCAAAGGUGGAGCUGAAGAAAGGAGCCACUCUGAAAAUCACCCUGGACAAGCCUUACAUGGAGAAGCGGGAGGAGAACAUCCUGCAGGUAGACUAUAAGAACAUCUGCAAGGUGGUGGAGGUGGGCAGGAAGAUCUACGUGGACUAUGGGCUCAUCUCACUGCAGGUGAGGAAAAAGGUACUAACUUCCUGGUGACAUUGGCAGAGAAUGACAGCUCCUUGGGCAGCAAGAAGGGUGUGAACCUACCUGGCGCUGCUGUGGACCUUUCCACUGUGUCGGAAAAGGACAUCCAGGACCUGAAGUUUGGGAUGGAGCAGGAUGUGGAUAUGAUGUUUGUGUCUUUCAUCCGCAAGACAGUCAACGUGCAUGAAGUUAGGAAGGUCCUGGGAGAGAAGGGCAAGAAACAUCAAGAUCAUCAGUAAAACCGAGAACCCUGAAGGUGUCUGCAAGUUUCAAGAGAUCUGAGAGGCCAGUGAUGGGAUCAUGCUGGCUCGUGGUGACCUGGGCAUUGAGAUUCCUGUAGAGAAGGUCUUCCUGGCUCAGAAGAUGAUGAUUGGAUGAUGCAACUGAGCUGGGAAACCUGUUGUCUUUGCCACAAAGAUGCAUGAUCAAGAAGCCACGCCCUACCUGUACUGAAGGCAGUGAUGUGGCCAAUGCAGUCCUGGAUGGAGCAGACUGCAUCAUGCUGUCUGGAGAAACAAGCCAAGCGGGACUACCCUCUGGAGGCUGUUCGCAUGCAGAACCUGAUUGCCCGAGAGGCAGAGGCUGCUAUCUACCACUUGCAGCUAUUCUAGAAACUCUGCGACCUGGCGCAUGUUACCAGGACCCCACAGAAGCUGCUUCCAUGGGUGGAGUGGAGACCUUCUUCAAGUGCUGCAGUAGGGCCAUUGUCGUGCUCUUCAAGUCUGGCAGGAGUGCUCACCAAGUGGCCAGGUACCGCCUUGGUCUCUAAUCAUUGCUGUGAUGCGCAAUCCCCAGACUGCCUGUCAGGUCCAUCAGUAGUGCGGCACCUUCCCUGUGAUGUGUAGGGAUGCAGUAUUGAAUUACUGGGCUGAAUAUGUUGACCCUCGUGCAAAGCCCGAGACUUCUUCAAGAAGGGAGAUAUUGGUCAUUGUACUGACCGGGUGGCACCCUGGCUCUGCCUUCACCAACACCAUGUGUGUAGUGCCUAUAUCUUGA